rnacentral:rRNA from 1 species
AACGAACGUUGGCGGCGCGCCUAACACAUGCAAGUCGCACGAGAAAGGGAGCAAUCCCCGGUACAGUGGCGCACGGGUGAGUAACACGUGGAUAAUCUUCCCUUGGGCGGGGGAUAACCUUCCGAAAGGAGGGCUAAUACCGUAUAAGACCACAGCGAGUUCGCUCGCAGGGGUCAAAGCUGGCCUCUUCAUGAAAGCUAGCACCUAAGGAUGAGUCCGCGUCCCAUCAGCUAGUUGGUAGUGUAAAAGACUACCAAGGCGAAGACGGGUAGCUGGUCUGAGAGGAUGAUCAGCCACACUGGAACUGAGACCCGGUCCAGACUCCUACGGGAGGCAGCAGUGGGGAAUCUUGCGCAAUGGGCGAAAGCCUGACGCAGCGACGCCGCGUGGGUGAUGAAGGCCCUCGGGUUGUAAAGCCCUGUGGGGAGGGACGAAUAAGUCGUGGCUAAUAUCCACGAUGAUGACGGUACCUCCUUAGCAAGCACCGGCUAACUCUGUGCCAGCAGCCGCCGUAA